rnacentral:snRNA from 1 species
UUGCUUCAGCAGCACAUAUACUAAAAUUGGAAUGAUACAGAGAUUAGCAUGGCCCCUGCACAAGGAUGACAUGCAAAUUCAUGAAGUGUUCCAUAUUUUU